AACGAACGCUGGCGGCAUGCCUAACACAUGCAAGUCGAACGAUCCCUUCGGGGAUAGUGGCGCACGGGUGCGUAACGCGUGGGAACCUGCCCUUAGGUUCGGAAUAACUCAGAGAAAUUUGAGCUAAUACCGGAUAAUGUCUUCGGACCAAAGAUUUAUCGCCUUUGGAUGGGCCCGCGUUGGAUUAGCUAGUUGGUGGGGUAAAGGCCUACCAAGGCGACGAUCCAUAGCUGGUCUGAGAGGAUGAUCAGCCACACUGGGACUGAGACACGGCCCAGACUCCUACGGGAGGCAGCAGCGGGGAAUAUUGGACAAUGGGCGAAAGCCUGAUCCAGCAAUGCCGCGUGAGUGAUGAAGGCCUUAGGGUUGUAAAGCUCUUUUACCCGGGAUGAUAAUGACAGUACCGGGAGAAUAAGCCCCGGCUAACUCCGUG
rnacentral:rRNA from 1 species